UACAGAGGUCUCAAGCGUUGUUCGGAUUCAUUGGGCGUAAAGGGUGUGUAGGUGGCGCGCUAAGUCGGGUGUGAAAUUUCGGAGCUUAACUCCGAAACUGCAUUUGAUACUGGCGUGCUUGAGGACUGGAGAGGAGACUGGAAUUCAUGGUGUAGCAGUGAAAUGCGUAGAUAUCGUAAGGAAGACCAGUGGCGAAGGCGGGUCUCUGGACAGUUCCUGACACUGAGACACGAAGGCCAGGGGAGCAAACGGG
rnacentral:rRNA from 1 species